rnacentral:rRNA from 1 species
GACGAACGCUGGCGGCGUGCUUAACACAUGCAAGUCGAACGGAAAGGCCCUGCUUUUGUGGGGUGCUCGAGUGGCGAACGGGUGAGUAACACGUGAGUAACCUGCCCUUGACUUUGGGAUAACUUCAGGAAACUGGGGCUAAUACCGGAUCGGAGCUCCUGCUGCAUGGUGGGGGUUGGAAAGUUUCGGCGGUUGGGGAUGGACUCGCGGCUUAUCAGCUUGUUGGUGGGGUAGUGGCUUACCAAGGCUUUGACGGGUAGCCGGCCUGAGAGGGUGACCGGCCACAUUGGGACUGAGAGACGGCCCAGACUCCUACGGGAGGCAGCAGGGGGGAAUAUUGCACAAUGGGCGGAAGCCUGAUGCAGCAACGCCGCGUGCGGGAUGACGGCCUUCGGGUUGUAAACCGCUUUCGCCUGUGACGAAGCGUGAGUGACGGUAAUGGGUAAAGAAGCACCGGCUAACUACGUG